GUGCUUGCUUUGACAGCACAUAUACUAAAACUGGAACGAUAUAGAGAAUAUUAGCAUGGCCCCUGUGCAAGGAUGACACACAAAUUCAUGAAGCAUUCCAUAUUUUU
rnacentral:snRNA from 1 species